GGGCCCUGCCGGCGGGCACACAAGUCUUGUCUCACCCAAGGUGUAUCCUUGGAGGAGCUUGCGGCAGAGGAAGCCAGCAGGCCUCUGUGCAGGACCUUUGCACUGUGUCAUAGACAUAUAAGAGUUUGUGCCCGUUGCCUCUUGUCCUGUCACUGGAUACCACUGAGAGAAGUCUGGGUCUAUCUUCCUUUCACCCUCCCAUCAGAUAUCUUGAUAUUUGUGGCUGUAAAAGGUGACCGAUACAGGAAUUCAGGCUUUGGCAGCUGUCGCCAGCUUCGUGAUCUUGCUCUGAGCUCUACAACAACAAGUAAAAGAGGAUUCUUCUCCAUUUGAACAUCCAAUGUGCACACCCUUGAUACAAAGGGCUACAGAGAUGAUGACGGGACUGGAGCAUCUUUCCUAUGAGGAAAGGCUGAGAGAGCUGGGUCUGUUUAGCCUGGAGAAGAGAAGGCUGAGAGGGGAUCUCAUCAACGCUUAUAAAUACCUAAAGGGUGGAUGUCAAGAGGAUGGGGCCAGACUCUUUUCAGUGGUGCCCAGUGACAGGACAAGGGGCGAUGGGCACAAACUGGAACCCAGGAAGUUCCAUCUGAACAUGAGGGAAAACUUCUUCACUUUGAGGGUGCCAGAGCACUGGAAGAGGCUGCCCAGAGAGGUUGUGGAGCCUCCUUCUCUGGAGAUAUUCAAAACCCCCCUGGAUGUGAUCCUGUGCAACCUGCUCCUCUGAUCCUACUCUAGCAAGGGGGUUGGACUAGAUGUUCUCCAGAGGUGCCUGCCUACCACUACCAUUCUGUGAUUGUGUGAAUCUGUGAUAAAAAUCUUCCCACUUCUAGUAAAGCUUUGCAGCUGAAGAAGAAACAUUUUGAAUGUUUUAUGGUUUGAAGCUUAUUGCAAUUGCUAUUGUUACAGUUAUUACUGCAUUAAUUUAUUUCCCCUUUAAAAAUCAAAAUUAAAGCUCCACCUACCAUACGUUGUCUUGGUAAAAUCUUCAUAUAUAUGAAAUACUUCUUAGUUUAUAAUGUAUCGAG